UACGUAGGGUGCGGGCGUUGUCCGGAAUUAUUGGGCGUAAAGAGCUUGUAGGCGGUCUGUCGCGUCUGCUGUGAAAAUCCGGGGCUCAACCCCGGACUUGCAGUGGGUACGGGCAGACUAGAGUGUGGUAGGGGAGACUGGAAUUCCUGGUGUAGCGGUGAAAUGCGCAGAUAUCAGGAGGAACACCGGUGGCGAAGGCGGGUCUCUGGGCAGUAACUGACGCUGAGGAGCGAAAGCGUGGGGAGCGAACAGG
rnacentral:rRNA from 1 species